GUAGUCGCGACUCCGGGCAGUCGUUCAACUCGGGAUUUUCGCUCUCUCCGCGAGCGGCACGCGACGCAUCGUACCCGACCAUCGACGUUUCCCGCGUCUGACGUCAUCAAGCGCCCCUGCUACGUUUGAGAAGGGGAACGUUACCGCCGCUGCUUCGUCACCAUCUCGUUGCGAUAUGUACGUACACUUGGUCGCACCGAUUCUGAGACAACUGAUUUCAUCGACGAGACGGUUACGUUGGCAAUGCCUAAUCAACCCGCAGCGCCAGCGCCGGCCGGCCGCGGAACUGGCUAAAUUAUUUGUGGACAAAACGACAUUCGGGAGAAAUAAAAAACAAAAAAAAAAGGACCUGGACAACUGGAACUACGGAGCGCUAGUCCUGGAAAUUAAGGCUCACGAAGAAAAAGGAGCUAGAGCGCAGAAAAUACGGAGCGGUAGUCCGGGAAGUCAAAAUUUAGCAGGUAGAGGACCUAGAGCGCAGGUAUUACGGAGCGCUAGUCCUGAAAGUCGAGCUUCACCAGGUAAAGGACCUGGACAGCCGGAACUACGGAGCGCUAGUCCUGAAAGUCGUGAUUCAUCAGGUAGCGGGGCUAGAGCGUAGGAUCCAGAAGGUAGAGGACCAACUCAAAAUCUGCGGAGCGCGAUUCUCGUACGUCCUCUCUACUCGGCGUUUAUUUCCGGACUGUCGAAUUCGGCCAACUGAUUUUCAUCGUCAAAAUUCAAAUCUGGACCACCUCGUAACUAGUCAUUCCCUUUACGCGGUUCUCAUUUUCGUAACGCUAGAAUAUUGUUGCCCCCUCGGUAAUGAAAAGUCACUUUGAUACACGAAUGCAAAGGGCACUGUACAUAAUCGACGCGACGUACGAGAUAUAUGUUAUUUCUACUACACAUGUUGACAGAGUAAAAUGAAAAAUGCAAUUCCAGACGGGAAUCCCAGUGUUGCUAACACUCUGAAUUCUCUCCCACUAAGACGACCAAUCAAUUCCACUGAAAAACCACUAAGCUUGCCCCUGGUGGACUGUAUUAAAAAUUUUAUUUCAAUUUAGCGCGCGAAUAUUUGCCUAAAAAUAAUUAUCUUAUUUGUAUGUAUUACAUGAACAUCUAUAAUAGAAUUUGGAUCUAAUUAUUACUUUAUAAUACAUGGUAAUACAACAUUAGCAUUGGACGUCAAUAUACCGUUAAUAAAAUCGAAUAAAAAAAGAAAAAACAAAUAAACUUUACUGUUAUUAGAACACGAAUAUUUAUUAUUGAUAUAAAUUGUAACAUCUAUAAGGAAAAAAGGAAAAAAGAUUUACUUUUAUGCUGUCAUCUGAUGAUUAAGGAAUUAAAACGUGUAAAAACUGAUGACCAACCAUACCACUGACAAAAUCUACUAACCACUAAAAGUGAUUUUUUUCUACCGUCCCAGAAUAAAAA